rnacentral:rRNA from 1 species
UACGGGGGGAGCAAGCGUUGUUCGGAUUUACUGGGCGUAAAGGGCGCGUAGGCGGUCAGCACAAGUCAGUUGUGAAAUCUCCGGGCUUAACUCGGAAAGGUCAACUGAUACUGUGCGACUAGAGUGCGGAAGGGGCAACUGGAAUUCUCGGUGUAGCGGUGAAAUGCGUAGAUAUCGAGAGGAACACCUGCGGCGAAGGCGGGUUGCUGGGCUGACACUGACGCUGAUGUGCGAAAGCCAGGGGAGCGAACGGG